GCGGAGGAAAGAACCAACAGGGAUUACCUCAGUAACGGCGAGUGAAGCGGUAAGAGCUCAAAUUUGAAAUCUGGCCUCGGCCCGAGUUGUAAUUUGCAGAAGGUGCUUCGGGUGUGGCUCGGUCAAAGUUCCUUGGGACAGGACGUCACAGAGGGUGAGAACCCCGUACGACCCCCACCACGCCCGCGUGAAGCCCUCUCGACGAGUCGAGUUGUUUGGGAAUGCAGCUCAAAACGGGUGGUAUAUUUCAUCUAAAGCUAAAUAUGGGCCAGAGACCGAUAGCGCACAAGUAGAGUGAUCGAAAGAUGAAAAGCACUUUGGAAAGAGGGUUAAACAGUACGUGAAAUUGUUGAAAGGGAAGCGCUCGCGAUCAGAUUGGACUUGGUGCUCAUCAGGGCUUCGGGCCUGUGCACUCAUCAAGUCCGGGCCAGCAUCGAUUGGGGGGGUGGG
rnacentral:rRNA from 1 species